AUUGAACGCUGGCGGCAUGCCUUACACAUGCAAGUCGAACGGCAGCGGGGACUUCGGUCCGCCGGCGAGUGGCGAACGGGUGAGUAAUGUAUCGGAACGUACCAUUGAGUGGGGGAUAACGUAGCGAAAGUUACGCUAAUACCGCAUAUUCUCUCCGGAGGAAAGCAGGGGACCGCAAGGCCUUGCGCUCUUUGAGCGGCCGAUAUCAGAUUAGCUAGUUGGUGAGGUAAAGGCUCACCAAGGCGACGAUCUGUAGCGGGUCUGAGAGGAUGAUCCGCCACACUGGAACUGAGACACGGUCCAGACCCCUACGGGAGGCAGCAGUGGGGAAUUUUGGACAAUGGGGGCAACCCUGAUCCAGCCAUGCCGCGUGAGUGAAGAAGGCCUUCGGGUUGUAAAGCUCUUUCGGCCGGGAAAAAAUCGCAUGGGCUAAUAUCCUGUGUGGAUGAUGGUACCGGAAUAAGAAGCACCGGCUAACUACGUGCCAGCAGCCGCGGUAA
rnacentral:rRNA from 1 species